AAAAAAUCAAAUCCUGGUUUUUCGUAUCCAAAUUUGACUGUUCGUCUUAUAUAAAAUUUUUUUAUAAUUUGUAUUUUCAUUGUUGUUUGAUGAUAAAACAUGAUUAAUAUUUUAUGCGUGACUUGUCUUUUUAAUUUUUUCAUAAUUUUUUCAAAUAAGACGGACGGUUAAACGUUGGACAUGGAAACCAGGGUUUGUCUUUUU
rfam:Oryza sativa (indica cultivar-group) chromosome 1, whole genome shotgun sequence.